rnacentral:lncRNA from 1 species
AGAGUCUAGAAAAUAUCACCUAUUGAAUGUCUACUUCCACGUGGAUAUUGAGGGAGAAACAGUAAAAUCCAAGACAAUCUCCUGUGGAAGAAAAUUCUCCAACCCAAAGCUCAACCAAACCCAAAGCGCAACCCAAAGCACUGAACAGCACAUCAAUUAAGACCUGUCAAAUAUAAUCACACAAUCUAAUAUUUUUAAACAUGCAAAAUGAAGAGC